rnacentral:lncRNA from 1 species
UUUCUCGUCACCUUCAAAACCAGGAUAAACUUUAUAUGUUUAUUUACUUUUACUUACAACUAUUUAUCAUGUCGCUGCAACAUAACUUUAUGUUCAGACUUUGAACUUGUUUAUAUUCUGAAACUAGUUUCAUAAGUACAAAAAUAAUUAUCAUACACAAUUCAACCACCUCCCCUUCUUGUGUAUUUUUCUCAUCUUCAAUUACAAUUCCACAUGCAAAAAUGCUUAUUUAUUUCCCCAUUAAGUAAUUUCCCCAUUGAGUCCUUUCAAAA